GUGGGGAAUAUUGGACAAUGGCCGGAAGGCUGAUCCAGCCAUGCCGCGUGAAGGAUAAGGUCCUAUGGAUUGUAAACUUCUUUUGAGUGGGAGCAAUAAGGAUGUCGUGACAUCCGAUGAGAGUACCAUUCGAAUAAGCAUCGGCUAACUCCGUGCCAGCAGCCGCGGUAAUACGGAGGAUGCGAGCGUUAUCCGGAUUUAUUGGGUUUAAAGGGUGCGUAGGCGGUUUGUCAAGUCAGCGGUGAAACGCAAGGGCUCAACCCUUGACCUGCCGUUGAAACUGAUUGACUAGAAUGCGGAUGCUGUGGGAGGAAUGUGUGGUGUAGCGGUGAAAUGCAUAGAUAUCACACAGAACACCGAUUGCGAAGGCAUCUCACAAAUCCGUGAUUGACGCUGAGGCACGAAAGUGUGGGGAUCAAACAGG
rnacentral:rRNA from 1 species